rnacentral:rRNA from 1 species
AAGAACUAACUAGGAUUCCCUCAGUAACGGCGAGUGAAGCGGGACUAGCUCAGGAUGUGAAUCUGCGCUGUAUGGCGCCGAAUUGUGGUCUAUAGACUUUGACGUUAUCUGCCGGGCCAAGUUCCUUGGAAAAGGACAGCUGAGAGGGUGAGACUCCCGUCCGCCUGGUAGAGUGAGUCGUUGUCAACGAGUCGAGUUGUUUGGGAUUGCAGCUCUAAUUUGGUGGUAAAUUCCAUCUAAAGCUAAAUAUUGGUGGGAGACCGAUAGCGUACAAGUACCGUGAGGGAAAGAUGCAAAGAACUUUGAAAAGAGAGUUAAAGAGUACCUGAAAUUGCUGAAACGGAAGCGAAGGAAACCAGUGUUUGUUGGUUCAUAUUUCCCUGGCCACUUGUGGUUUGGGCGCUGUGAGCUUGCGUGGGUUUGCUUUGGUUGAUCCCUUUGGAAGAGCGCAGUCAGAGUUGAUGUCUGUUGCUAGCACUGGGUUUGACUAAUGCAGACGAAA